AAUUUUUCUUAAUUGGGGAAACCCUGAAGGCGCGACGCCGCGUGGAGGAAGAAGGCUUNCGGGUCNUNAACUCCUGUCAUUCGGGNACAAUGCUAAGGGGGGUAACUCUGCUUCAGUUGAUAGUACCUGCAGAGGAAGGGACGGCUAACUCUGUGCCAGCAGCCGCGGUAAUACAGAGGUCCCAAGCGUUGGUGGUAUUCAUUGGGCGUAAAGGGUGCGUAGGCGGCGAGGUAAGUUGGUUGUGAAACCCCAGGGCUCAACCCUGGAACUGCAUUCAAUCCUGCUUUGCUAGAGUCCUGGAGAGGAGAUUGGAAUGCACGGUGUAGCAGUGAAAUGCGUAGAUAUCGUGAGGAAGACCAAUGGCGAAGGCGAAUCUCUGGACAGUAACUGACGCUGAGGCACGAAGGCUAGGGGAGCAAACGGG
rnacentral:rRNA from 1 species